AUGCAAACAUCUGCACCAAUGUGCAGACCGUUAAUGUCGAUUGCCAGGUCCCUUUAAUCUCACAGUCCCCGUACAAAAAAGGGCAGCAAAGAAAUAAAAAGAAUUCGACAAACAAUUAUAUGGAACAUCUUUGACACAAGGUUGCCCGGGCUCCAUUGCCGGCGGUGCAAAAGACCGAACGAGAGAGCGAAAUGAGACCACGAAAGAAACUGAAAACAUAAGCCUGUAGACUUGGAAGGCAAGAGCUACAAGGUUAGGUUCUCAUUUUUUGGCUGCAGAGUUCGUUCGUCCUGUGAUACAACAAACCUCCUACCUCCCAUAUGGAUGAUAUCGACCACUACCUGCACCACCAUAUCCCCCUCCUCUACUACCGUAAAAGGAAGCUCCACUACCACCUCCG
rnacentral:lncRNA from 1 species